UACGUAGGCAGCAAGCGUUGUUCGGAGUUACUGGGCGUAAAGGGUGUGUAGGCGGUCUUCUAAGUUUGGUGUGAAAUCUCCCGGCUCAACUGGGAGGGUGCGCCGAAGACUGGAAGGCUUGAGUAUGGGAGAGGUAAGCGGAAUUCCUGGUGUAGCGGUGAAAUGCGUAGAUAUCAGGAGGAACACCUGCGGUGUAGACGGCUUACUGGACCAUCACUGACGCUGAGGCACGAAAGCGUGGGUAGCAAACAGG
rnacentral:rRNA from 1 species